rnacentral:rRNA from 1 species
UACGUAGGUGACCAGCGUUGUCCGGAUUUACUGGGCGUAAAGAGCGCGCAGGCGGUCGUUCAAGUCGAGUGUGAAAGCCCCCGGCUCAACUGGGGAGGGUCACUUGAUACUGAUCGACUCGAAGGCAGGAGAGGGAAGCGGAAUUCCCGGUGUAGUGGUGAAAUGCGUAGAUAUCGGGAGGAACACCAGUGGCGAAGGCGGCUUCCUGGCCUGUUCUUGACGCUGAGGCGGCGGAAAGCUAGGGGAGCAAACAGGG